rnacentral:tRNA from 1 species
AAUAAAGUGUCUGAUUAAAAGUAUUAAACUGUAAUUUUAAAUAUGAGAAAAUAUCUCCUUUAUUA